CAAGCGGUGGAGCAUGUGGUUUAAUUCGAUGCAACGCGAAGAACCUUACCUACUCUUGACAUCCAGAGAAGAACGCAGAGAUGUGUUUGUGCCUUCGGGAGCUCUGAGACAGGUGCUGCAUGGCUGUCGUCAGCUCGUGUUGUGAAAUGUUGGGUUAAGUCCCGCAACGAGCGCAACCCUUAUCCUUUGUUGCCAGCACGUAAUGGUGGGAACUCAAGGGAGACUGCCGGUGAUAAACCGGAGGAAGGUGGGGAUGACGUCAAGUCAUCAUGGCCCUUACGAGUAGGGCUACACACGUGCUACAAUGGCGUAUACAAAGAGAAGCGACCUCGCGAGAGCAAGCGGACCUCACAAAGUACGUCUAAGUUCGGAUUGGAGUCUGCAACUCGACUCCAUGAAGUCGGAAUCGCUAGUAAUCGUGGAUCAGAAUGCCACGGUGAAUACGUUCCCGGGCCUUGUACACACC
rnacentral:rRNA from 1 species